GACAGAGGUGCCGAGCGUUAGGCGGAAUCACUGGGCUUAAAGCGUGUGUAGGCGGACGCCUAAGUACCUUGUGAAAUCCCACGGCUCACCCGUGGAACUGCUGGGUAUACUGGUCGUCUUGAGCCUUCUAGGGGCUACCGGAACAAAUGGUGGAGCGGUGAAAUGCGUAGAUAUCAUUUGGAACGCCAAUGGUGAAAACAGGUAGCUGGGGAAGUGCUGACGCUGAGACACGAAAGCCAGGGGAGCGAACGGG
rnacentral:rRNA from 1 species